UACGGAGGGAGCUAGCGUUGUCCGGAAUUACUGGGCGUAAAGAGCUCGUAGGUGGUUUGUCGCGUUGUUCGUGAAAACUCACAGCUUAACUGUGGGCGUGCGGGCGGAUACGGGCAGACUGGAGUACUGCAGGGGAGACUGGAAGUUCCUGGUGUAGCGGUGAAAUGCGCAGAUAUCAGGAGGAACACCGAUGGCGAAGGCAGGUCUCUGGGCCACUACUGACGCUGGAGAAGCGGAAAGCAUGGGGAGCGAACAGG
rnacentral:rRNA from 1 species